GCUGCCGUCCCCCGACGGUGCGGCCGCGCAGUCCUUGUCGGGCAGGCGCUGGAGCCGCCCGCUCCCGCUUCUUUGGCUGGGGUAGAAGGGCUCUGCCGUCUGGUCGCAGGUGCCGGGGGGCGGCUCGGAGGGGGCGGCUGCAGCGGAGGGCAGCUCCUUGCGGGCGAUCUCCUCGGGGUCCAUGGGCUCCCCGCUGCACGUCGUGGGGUGGGAGUUGUGAGCCGGCCGCCCCGGGCCCUUCUUCGUGUUCUCUUUCUUUCUCCAUUUGGCCCGGCGGUUUUGGAACCAGACCUACACACCGAACAACGAGAAGCAAUUAACACCCAGCGCACCGGCCCCCCGCGGUGGCCGGGGGGCGAAGGGAUUGAAGCGAAGAUCAGGCCUCCCCCUCCAACCCUCGAGGUGCCGGCAGCCCCCAUCCACAGGACCGAGCAUCUGCGAGGCGGAGAGCAAGGGAGGGGACAGGAAGAGAUAUCCACACUUCUUUAACAGGGUAGAAAAAUAAAAGCAAGAGGAGCAGGAUGCACACUCACGCACACACACGCUGCGUCCUGCCCGCACCAGUGCCGCGGGGAGGGGAAGGGGUAGCACCCCCCAGCUCUUCCCGGCAGCCCAGGGGUGCAGAAGUCCCCGCCAGAGCCUCGGCCUGCGCGGCCUGGCCCCAUUCCUCCGUAGCAGCGCGCAAACCGCAAUAAAACCGCAGCACAAUGAGCGGGCCAAAGGUAGGGGGGUGUCGCCUCGCCCGGGAGGAGCGAGGCCUGGGCCCCCUGCCCGUUCCGGGCACCAGAGCAGAGCGGUUGAAUCAGCCCGAGAUCGGGUUUGUUAUAACAUUAUGGGGGAAAUGAAAAAUAAAUUUUAAUUAAAUCCUC